GGGCGUGUGGCUCAGUUGGUAGAGCGCCCGCUUAGCAUAACUAAAAGCAAUUGCGGAAGGUCCCCGGUUCGAUUCCGGGCUCGUCCA